GGGGCUGUGGCCUAGUCCGGGAAGGCGGCUGACUCCAGAGGUCACACGCCAGGUGACGAUAUCCAGAGCUGAUAUACCGAGCGUCCGACUGAUCAUCGGCCGCGUUGACGACCCUCUGGAGUACCGAGGCGUGGUACGGAGAUAUCAGCCGAUCGUGGGUUCAAAUCCCUCCGGCCCCA
rnacentral:tRNA from 1 species